GCUCUCUCUCUCCCAGAUUAAACAGCCUUCCUGACCAUCUUAGUGUUUUGUUUCUUUUGCUCCUUACUUUGUGUUUAUUUCCUUUUGAGGAUGGAGGUCUGGUAGGUCAGUUUUCGUGGCUUUAUUUGUUAGUUUAAUAAUGCACUGUUUUUGGUAGUUUAUGGGGGGGAGGUUCUGGGUUCGAUGGCCCAUUGUGUGGUUGGCCCAGACUUCCCCAUUCUUUUGUUCUGUUUGGCCAGGCCUCCAGACUCCCGUAGUUUUGGUUAAUUAAUGGCAACUGUUUGUUAGUAAAGUCUUUUUGCUUUGAAACUAA